rnacentral:lncRNA from 1 species
ACCCCACCGCACCUCGUGUGUCAGGAGGCCUCCAGGCCCUAAUGGAGAGUCCAGGGAAGGGUUCAGCUAACUCUAAACUUGUUCCAGGUUCUAGGCACUCAGAAAGCAAGGAGAUGCUCAUAUUACAAGAGUCUUAGCGAGGGCAGAGGCUUCCCCGCACCAGCUUCAAGUGUCCACAAGGCUUAUUCCCGAGCGUCGGCAGGGGCUCUGUGCUCAGCAGUGACCACCAGGUGGCAGCACGUUCCCACUGCCUCCCAGACCGCAGGCUGAGCGAGAAAACGAGAAGCUGGGAGGAGUUGGUGGCAACCCCCUUUCAGCGCUGCUUAGAGCGACCUCAGAUGGUGCCGAACACGAAGGAAGGAAUCGAGAAUGAAGGGCAAAGGAGACAGGGAUAGAUUGCCAACUGCCUAAGUUCAACCUGAUCCCGUGGAAUAUUUCUGGGCCGCACUAAAUUCAAUGCUCUUGACUCAAGAAGGUUGAGAAGCUGCUUCUACUUAUUCAAGCUUGUGAGUAUUCCAAGAAAAACAGUAUCUGUGUUUUUCUGUAGAGUGCACAACGCCGCUCACACACUCCGCUUCACUCAGUUAGCAAAACCACCACCCGAGAGGCCCGUCUUACUCAUCUCUGCCCACAGCAGAAGAAACUGAGGCCCGGAGGCUGGAGAGGUCUGCUCAGGACUGUCCCUGUACCAACAUCAGAGGGGACUCGGGGACAGGAGCCUCUCACCGGCCUCCUCACCUCAGGAGAGGACAGUGAAGACUGGGAGAGGGCUUGUCAGCUGCCAUGGAGACAACGCCAACCACCAUGGGCUGGGCACUUUGCCAGGUGUCGCUGACGAUUCUAGAGCCGUCCUGGAGGUAAGUACUGUUGGAUCCAUUGCACAGAGGAGGAAACUAAGGCGCGGUGACACCUGAGUGACUUGGCCAGUGAGCCACCUGAGCAACAAAGCCAGUGAACGACAGGGCCGUGGCCCGGACCCAAGUCUGUCUUGGCUUCAAAGUCUUGGCUCUUCCCAGUGAACCCCACGAGAAGAAUACUGUAUCAGUUAUGCCAAAACUCAGUUUGUCAUCUGAGGCAGAAAUUCUUCAGUGUCCCAAUGGGGUAAGUCUCGUGUCCUAGGUCAGGCCAGCUAUCAGGGGCAGUGUGUUAUCACACCAACCGUCUGGCUCCCACCCCCCACCAGCUCCACUUAGAAGACAGUGGUUCGGGGGGCGCCUGGGGGGCACAGUCGGUUAAGCAUCCGACUUCAGCCAGGUCACGAUCUCGCGGUCCAUGAGUUCGAGUCCCGCGUCAGGCUCUGGGCUGAUGGCUCAGAGCCUGGAGCCUGUUUCCGAUUCUGUGUCUCCCUCUCUCUCUGCCCCUCCCCGGUUCAUUCUCUGUCUCUCUCUGUCCCAAAAAUAAAUAAACGUUGAAAAAAAAAAUUAAAAAAAAA